GACGAACGCUGGCGGCGUGCUUAACACAUGCAAGUCGAACGGAAAGGCCCUGCUUUUGUGGGGUGCUCGAGUGGCGAACGGGUGAGUAACACGUGAGUAACCUGCCCUUGACUUUGGGAUAACUUCAGGAAACUGGGGCUAAUACCGGAUAGGAGCUCCUGCUGCAUGGUGGGGGUUGGAAAGUUUCGGCGGUUGGGGAUGGACUCGCGGCUUAUCAGCUUGUUGGUGGGGUAGUGGCUUACCAAGGCUUUGACGGGUAGCCGGCCUGAGAGGGUGACCGGCCACAUUGGGACUGAGAUACGGCCCAGACUCCUACGGGAGGCAGCAGUGGGGAAUAUUGCACAAUGGGCGGAAGCCUGAUGCAACAACGCCGCGUGCGGGAUGACGGCCUUCGGGUUGUAAACCGCUUUCGCCUGUGACGAAGCGUGAGUGACGGUAAUGGGUAAAGAAGCACCGGCUAACUACGUGCCAGCAGCCGCGGUGAUACGUAGGGUGCGAGCGUUGUCCGGAUUUAUUGGGCGUAAAGGGCUCGUAGGUGGUUGAUCGCGUCGGAAGUGUAAUCUUGGGGCUUAACCCUGAGCGUGCUUUCGAUACGGGUUGACUUGAGGAAGGUAGGGGAGAAUGGAAUUCCUGGUGGAGCGGUGGAAUGCGCAGAUAUCAGGAGGAACACCAGUGGCGAAGGCGGUUCUCUGGGCCUUUCCUGACGCUGAGGAGCGAAAGCGUGGGGAGCGAACAGGCUUAGAUACCCUGGUAGUCCACGCUGUAAACGGUGGGUACUAGGUGUGGGGCCCAUUCCACGGGUUCCGUGCCGUAGCUAACGCUUUAAGUACCCCGCCUGGGGAGUACGGCCGCAAGGCUAAAACUCAAAGGAAUUGACGGGGCUCCGCACAAGCGGCGGAGCAUGCGGAUUAAUUCGAUGCAACGCGUAGAACCUUACCUGGGUUUGACAUGGAUCGGGAGUGCUCAGAGAUGGGUGUGCCUCUUUUGGGGUCGGUUCACAGGUGGUGCAUGGCUGUCGUCAGCUCGUGUCGUGAGAUGUUGGGUUAAGUCCCGCAACGAGCGCAACCCUUGUUCACUGUUGCCAGCACGUUAUGGUGGGGACUCAGUGGAGACCGCCGGGGUCAACUCGGAGGAAGGUGGGGAUGACGUCAAGUCAUCAUGCCCCUUAUGUCCAGGGCUUCACGCAUGCUACAAUGGCUGGUACAGAGAGUGGCGAGCCUGUGAGGGUGAGCGAAUCUCGGAAAGCCGGUCUCAGUUCGGAUUGGGGUCUGCAACUCGACCUCAUGGAGUCGGAGUCGCUAGUAAUCGCAGAUCAGCAACGCUGCGGUGAAUACGUUCCCGGGGCU
rnacentral:rRNA from 1 species